rnacentral:lncRNA from 1 species
CCAAAGUAUUCGACUCAUCCGAGGUUCGACUCAACCGAGGUCGAGUGUGUUGUCAUAAACUUUGAAUGCAUUAAAUACGGUAUGAGAUUUGUGUAAACUAGAUACAAUGAACAGUGUGCCUUUUCCAUUCAAUCUCCAUUUUUGGUCCUUCGUAAUAAUUAAAAACACAAGUACAGAUACAAAUGAUGCACAAACAAAAUCAAUAGUCUACACAAAUAUUUACAAAGGUCAGUCGCUAUAAAUUAUGAAAUCACACGCGGCACGAAAUUCUGAACGGUCUCUGAUGAGGUCGUCUGCUUUACAUUAAAUGAUCAUGAAUUUAUUAUAAUUGUCUUAAUCCUUUUAUCUAUUGUAGUUAAUGAAGUUUAAAUAUAACGAUUCAUUUAAUCUCGGCUUGGGUCAUUUAAAUUCGUUUCGUUUUUAUCUCAGGUGAAAAAUGUUCAACACACUAAC